rnacentral:lncRNA from 1 species
ACAUGAGAUAGAGACAUUGGAUUGGUCUCUUAAAAGACUAUCACUACAAGAUCCUUUACCACCCUGGUAAGGGUAACGUGGUUGUUGAUGCUGUGAGUCGAAAGGAAUUCGCUAUGUUGACACAAUUGAUGACUUCCAGUUGGAAAUUAGUUUAUGCGAUACAAUCACUCUAUUUGAAUCAUUAUGGCAAUGGUGCUUAUCUCACCCAAAUUCGGGCCAUGCCUAACCUUUUUAUGAAGAUUUGGGAAACUCAGUCCACCGAUCAAUAGAUUUCAUAAAACCUUGAUAAGUUUACUUUUGAUGAGUUUUCUAAU